GCGGCCUUGAUGUAGUGGUAUCAUACGGCCCUGCCACGGCCGAUACCCGGGUUCAAAUCCCGGAGGCCGCA
rfam:Methanococcus voltae A3, complete genome.